rnacentral:lncRNA from 1 species
GGAGCAAAAGGUCGUGAGGAUGCGCAUGGAAAAUGAUAAUCGCAGAAAGCUGUUGGCGGUAAUCAUGUUUAAACUCUCUGUCUGUCUGUCUGUCUGUCUGUCUCUCUCUCUCAUUGUUCUCCCGAAACUGAUCCGCAUUGUCUUUUAUAUAGAAUGAAUUAGUAGUCAUCCUUGGACAACCCUUUCCUCUGAAGCUACGAUUGAUUGUCAAGAAUAUUAUUAGGUGCUUAUCUUUGGUGUUGGAAAGAAUUUACAACUAAUGCUAGAUUAAUAACAAAUCUGCACUUUAAGAACUGAAGAGUUGGUCAUUAAUUUAAGUCACAUACUUAUCAUUCAUCCACCACCGCUCGCUGGCUUUUUCUUCCUCCAAGAUUAUAAUUAACUGAAAUGCCCAAUUUCGUUGGAUUGGCCUAAUACGGUGAUUAAAGUCUUAAGUUAUAGAACCAAGGACAAGCAAGCGAGGCAUUCAAAGUAAUGAGUCAAGUCAUUAUUUGAUCCAAGAAGCACCCCUUUUACACUUGAUUUGCCUCCCUUGUAGCUAAACCCAAUCAUCACAAGGCAGAAUUGCAUGGAUUUAGGUUUGUUCUGUCUUUUAAAUGCCGCUAGCAUGGUCGGAGAUGCAUGGUUCAUGCCAAUACCGAGAACAGAAAUCCUUGACUAUAAAGAUAUUCUUGAGAUACUUUCGGUUAGGAGAAAGAGAAGGAACAGACUUAAUGAAGAAAUUAAUAUGCAAGAACUCAAUAUAUCAAUUAUCGGAACUUCAUAUAUUGUUGACUCUGAAGUGUAGUUUUGUUAGCUCAAAUUCUCCCUCUCCAUACUGCCAUCACAUAUAUCAGAACUGAUUAUAGCCUGUUCAUCUUAUUUUUCUCUCAGCAUGGGCCAGGACCAAGUGAAGUUGGUGGCUUUAGACCCUUGAGGAGGACCUUUUCUGGACCACUUUGAUUCUCGGCCUGCAUAUUAUCUAUCUCCUCCCCUGAACUCUUUGAUCAAUGUUGGAAGUUUAUGGUGAACAUUAAACUCAUAGUAGUUAUUUCCUAAGUAAUUUUCGUUGAGACGCAGACUUU